rnacentral:rRNA from 1 species
UACGGGAGGCAGCAGUGGGGAAUAUUGCACAAUGGGCGAAAGCCUGAUGCAGCUAUGCCGCGUGUAUGAAGAAGGCCUUAGGGUUGUAAAGUACUUUCAUCGGGGAGGAAAAAACAAAACUAAUAAUUUUAUUUCUUGACGUUACCCGAAAAAGAAGCACCGGCUAACUCCGUGCCAGCAGCCGCGGUAAUACGGAGGGUGCUAGCGUUAAUCAGAAUUACUGGGCGUAAAGAGCACGUAGGUGGUUUUUUAAGUCAGAUGUGAAAUCCCUGGGCUUAACCUAGGAACUGCAUUUUGAAACUGAAAUACUAGAGUAUCGUAGAGGGAGGUAGAAUUCUAGGUGUAGCGGUGAAAUGCGUAGAUAUCUGGAGGAAUACCUGUGGCGAAAGCGGCCUCUAAACGAAUACUGACACUGAGGUGCGAAAGCGUUGGGGAGCAAACGAGGGAUUAGAUACC